GUGCAAUUGCACCGUCUGGAGAUGAGCCUGCGGUCCAUUGGCUUGUUGGUGGGGUAAAGGCCUACCAAGGCAGUGAUGGAUAGCCGGCCUGAGAGGGUGUACGGUCACACUGGGACUGAGACACGGCCCAGACUCCUACGGGAGGCAGCAGCUAAGAAUCUUCCGCAAUGGGCGAAAGCCUGACGGAGCGACGCCGCGUGAAUGAAGAAGGCCGAGAGGUUGUAAAGUUCUUUUCUUGGUGAAGAAUAAUAUGAGUAGUGGAAAGACUUAUAGAUGACGUUAGCCAAGGAAUAAGUCCCGGCCAAUUACGUGCCAGCAGCCGCGGUAACACGUAAGGGGCGAGCGUUGUUCGGAAUUAUUGGGCGUAAAGGGCGUGUAGGCGGUCUUAUAAGCCUGGUGUAAAAGAUACUGGCUCAACCAGUAUUUUGCGCUGGGAACUGUAGGUCUUGAGUUUAGGAGGGGAAGCUGGAAUUCCAGGUGUAGGGGUGAAAUCUGUAGAUAUCUGGAAGAACACCGGUGGCGAAGGCGAGCUUCUAUCCAUAGACUGACGCUGAGGCGCGAAAGUGUGGGGAGCAAACAGGAUUAGAUACCCUGGUAGUCCACACUGUAAACGAUGUGCACUGGGCGUAGGAUGCGAUUAAGUGUUCUGUGCCGUAGCUAACGCGUUAAGUGCACCGCCUGGGGAGUAUGCCCGCAAGGGUGAAACUCAAAGGAAUUGACGGGGGCCCGCACAAGCGGUGGAGCAUGUGGUUUAAUUCGAUACGCGAGAAACCUUACCAGGGUUUGACAUGUACAUGUAUGUCAUAGAGAUAUGGCAGCCUCUUUUGAGGCGUGUACACAGGUGCUGCAUGGUUGUCGUCAGCUCGUGUCGUGAGAUGUUGGGUUAAGUCCCGCAACGAGCGCAACCCCUGCUGUCUGUUGCUAACAGGUAAUGCUGAGGACUCAGGCGGAACUGCCGGUGACAAACCGGAGGAAGGUGGGGAUGACGUCAAAUCCUCAUGGCCCUUAUAUCCUGGGCUACACACGUGCUACAAUGGCCGGUACAAAGUGUUGCGAGACGGUGACGUCAAGCUAAUCACAAAAAGCUGGUCUCAGUUCGGAUUGGAGUCUGAAACUCGACUCCAUGAAGUUGGAAUCGCUAGUAAUCGCGCAUCAGCAUGGCGCGGUGAAUACGUCCCCGGGCCUUGUACACACCGCCCGUCACACCAUGGGAGU
rnacentral:rRNA from 1 species